UGCACCAUUAAUGGUGCAGACGUAACUGGUUAGUUACGUUUGCACCAUUAAUGGUGCAGACGUAACUAGUUAGUUAUGUUUGCACCAUUAAUGGUGCAGACGUAACUAGUUAGUUAUG
rnacentral:snoRNA from 1 species